rnacentral:tRNA from 1 species
GCGGGGAUAGUUCAGUUGGGAGAACGUCAGACUGAAGAGAAUACUUCAGUUCUAUUAUAAAUCUGAAGGUCGUGCGUUCGAUCCGCACUCACCGCA